GUUCUUCGAGAUGAGCGUCCCUGUGGGUGCUCCACUCUAGGUGUUGGUGCGUCCCUGCGCCUUCACUCAGAGACUUUUCGUAGCAGUACUCGUACUGGCCACACAUGCGCAGAGGCUGCCCCCCGCAGUGAGUCUAGGAUAAUAGUGCACAUGCGUGGCCAAUCUCCUCAGUUCCUUCUCUACAACGGAGGCUACCCCAACUCCGAAGUAGAGGGGAGGAGGGUGGGUAGUGGAGCACCCACAGGGACACUCAUCUCGAAGAACGUCAGUUACUGCACAGGGUGAGUAACCUCUUCUUCUUCGAGAGAUGUCCCUGUGGGUGCUCCACUCUAGGUGACUUAAAAGCCGUGUAUCUUAAGGAGGUAGGGACUUCGGAUCUGAUAGGAACGCCGUUGAUAGUACAGCCCUGCCCAAACAUAUAUCAGAUAGAGGGCCUUGAGUAAGGGCAUAGUGUUUAACAAAUGUGUGCUCAGAGGACCAGGUAGCUGCUUUACAGAUAUCAGCCAGGGGAACUUUGCGUAAGAAUGCUACAGAGGCAGCCAUAGAUCUAGUGGAGUGUGUUCUGAUGCCGUCUGGAGGUGUAACUUUCUUCAUCUGAUAGCACAACCGGAUGCACUGAGAAAUCCAGUUCAAAAGUCUCUGGGUAGAAAUAGGUGUACCUCUGGAAUGCUCCGCGAUGGAAACAAAAAGUCUGGAAGAAUUUCUAAAAGGUUUGGUUCUAUCCAAAUAGAAGGACAAGGCCCUGCGUACGUCUAGUAUAUGCAUUGAGGCUUCGAACGAGUUCGCAUGUGGCUUCGGGAAAAAGGUUGGCCUAAAGAUAGGAAACAAUCGAUGGUAAGCCGUAUGGAUCGGAGAGCUUCGUCGAACGUUGAAGCUUUGAGGAGGCAAUCGUCUAGGUGGCUGGAGGCCUAGGGACCGGAGGGUUGCUCUUGCAUCCUUCAUCGAAUGCAGCAUGUUGUUUGUGGUGGAGGCAAAAAGUUUUUCCCCGUCAAAGGGAAGAUCUUCAAUGGUGCUCUGGACCUCUCGAGGGAAGAAGGAGGAAGAGAGCCAUGAGCCCCGUCGCGUGACCACUGCUGUGGCAGUCAACCUUGCUGCAGUGUUAGCUACAUCGAGGGCCGCUUGGAGAGCGGUGCGUGAUAUGGUUUGUCCCUCGGAAACCAGAGCUGUGAAUUGUUGUUUCUUCUGUUCUGGGAUGUGAUCAAUAAAAUCCAUGAAUUUA